rnacentral:rRNA from 1 species
UACGUAGGGUGCAAGCGUUGUCCGGAAUUAUUGGGCGUAAAGAGCUCGUAGGCGGUUUGUCGCGUCUGCUGUGAAAACCCGAGGCUCAACCUCGGGCCUGCAGUGGGUACGGGCAGACUAGAGUGCGGUAGGGGAGAUCGGAAUUCCUGGUGUAGCGGUGAAAUGCGCAGAUAUCAGGAGGAACACCGGUGGCGAAGGCGGAUCUCUGGGCCGUAACUGACGCUGAGGAGCGAAAGCAUGGGGAGCGAACAGGAUUAGAUACCC